UACAGAGGUCCCGAGCGUUGUUCGGAUUCAUUGGGCGUAAAGGGUGCGUAGGCGGCGGGGGUAAGUCUGAUGUGAAAUCCCGGGGGCUCAACCCCGGAACUGCAUUGGAUACUGCCUUGCUAGAGUACUGGAGAGGGAACUGGAAUUUACGGUGUAGAGUGAAAUGCGUAGAGAUCUAAGGGAAGGCCAGUGGCGAAGGCGAGU
rnacentral:rRNA from 1 species